rnacentral:lncRNA from 1 species
UACUGGUUAGGAAAGGCAGAUACUAACUCUUAGUUUUUAGGAGUAAAACAUCAAAUUAAACCACCGUUAAAAUAAGAAUUUACAAAAAAAUAAAAAAAUAAAAAAAUAAAAAAAUAAAAAAAUAAAAAAAUAAAAAUAAAAAAUCCAAAUGUUUCAUGAGCACAAAAUGUUUUAAAACGAACGUUUCAUUUGUAUUUUGUUAAAUAAGGGUAUAAAAUGGGAAAUUGAAUGUUGC